rnacentral:rRNA from 1 species
UACGUAGGGGGCUAGCGUUGUCCGGAAUCAUUGGGCGUAAAGCGCGUGUAGGCGGUUCGGUAAGUCCGCUGUGAAAGUCGGGGGCUCAACCCUCGGAAGCCGGUGGAUACUGUCGAGCUAGAGUACGGAAGAGGCGAGUGGAAUUCCUGGUGUAGCGGUGAAAUGCGCAGAUAUCAGGAGGAACACCAACGGCGAAGGCAGCUCGCUGGGACGGUACUGACGCUGAGACGCGAAAGCGUGGGGAGCGAACAGG